AUAACUGCGAGUGAAGCGGGAAAAGCUCAAAUUUAAAAUCUGGCAGUCUCACUGUCCGAGUUGUAAUCUGGAGAAGCAUUUUCUGUGUCGGACCGUGUACAAGUCUCUUGGAAUAGAGCGUCAUAGAGGGUGAGAAUCCCGUCCAUGACACGGAUCCCCGAUGCUUUGUGAUAUGCUCUCGAAGAGUCGAGUUGUUUGGGAAUGCAGCUCAAAAUGGGUGGUAAAUUCCAUCUAAAGCUAAAUAUUGGCGAGAGACCGAUAGCGAACAAGUACCGUGAGGGAAAGAUGAAAAGCACUUUGGAAAGAGAGUUAAACAGUACGUGAAAUUGUUGAAAGGGAAACGCUUGAAGUCAGUCGCGUUGUCUGGAACUCAGCCUUGCUUUGCUUGGUGUAUUUUCCAUUUAACGGGUCAACAUCAAUUUUGGUUGGUGGAUAAAGGUAUUGGGAAUGUGGCACCUUCGGGUGUGUUAUAGCCCUUUGCUGCAUACAUUGACUGGGAUUGAGGACUGCAGCACGCCAUUAUGGCCGAGGGUUCGCCCUA
rnacentral:rRNA from 1 species